AUACGGAGGGUGCAAGCGUUAUUCGGAAUCACUGGGCGUAAAGGACGCGUAGGCGGGUUGGCAAGUCAGAUGUGAAAUCCUACAGCUUAACUGUAGAACUGCAUUUGAAACUGCUAACCUAGAGUAUGGGAGGGGGAGAUGGAAUUAGUGGUGUAGGGGUAAAAUCCGUAGAUAUCACUAGGAAGACCGAAAGCGAAGGCGAUCUCCUGGAACAUAACUGACGCUAAGGCGUGAAAGCGUGGGGAGCAAACAGGAGUAGAAACCCUAGUAGUCC
rnacentral:rRNA from 1 species